GGAAGGGUGGCCGAGUUGGUUAUGGCGCCAGGUUAAGGUCCUGGUGGGGCAACCCGCGCGAGUUCGAGUCUCGUCCCUUUCA